rnacentral:sRNA from 1 species
GCGGGUGGAGCAUGUGGUUUAAUUCGAAGCAACGCGCAGAACCUUACCAGCCCUUGACAUGCCCGGCUACUUGCAGAGAUGCAAGGUUCCCUUCGGGGACCGGGACACAGGUGCUGCAUGGCUGUCGUCAGCUCGUGUCGUGAGAUGUUGGGUUAAGUCCCGCAACGAGCGCAACCCUCGCCCUUAGUUGCCAGCAUUAAGUUGGGCACUCUAAGGGGACUGCCGGUGAUAAGCCGAGAGGAAGGUGGGGAUGACGUCAAGUCCUCAUGGCCCUUACGGGCUGGGCUACACACGUGCUACAAUGGUGGUGACAGUGGGCAGCGAGCACGCGAGUGUGAGCUAAUCUCCAAAAGCCAUCUCAGUUCGGAUUGCACUCUGCAACUCGAGUGCAUGAAGUUGGAAUCGCUAGUAAUCGCGGAUCAGCAUGCCGCGGUGAAUACGUUCCCGGGCCUUGUACACACCGCCCGUCACACCAUGGGAGUUGGUUUUACCCGAAGGUAGUGCGCUAACCGCAAGGAGGCAGCUAACCACGGUAGGGUCAGCGACUGGGGUGAAGUCGUAACAAGGUAGCCGUAGGGGAACCUGCGGCUGGAUCACCUCCUUUCUAAGGAAGCUGUGGAAUUGGUAAGACGAUCGGCACAUGUCCUCGGACAUGGCCCGAUAUGAACCUUCCCGUGCUUUUUAGAACAUAGAUGGCACCAGUCAGGUGACCAUCGAAACGUAAUACGCCGCGAUGACUUCGGUCACGACGGUAUGGCGAGCUUUCGCCGUCCACGUUUCUCUUUCUUCAAAAGGAUAUCGAACCAUGGGUUUGCGCUCGCGCGCCGUUCGCACCUUCGGUGCUGCGCUCCGCGAGGGCGCCGGACGACCGGCGACGGCCUCUGGCCUGUAUGGGCGACCCUUUCCGAGGUUUUGCUUAGGAUUGGCGUCGACGCAGAGAGAUGGGCCCGUAGCUCAGUUGGUUAGAGCACACGCUUGAUAAGCGUGGGGUCGGAAGUUCAAGUCUUCCCGGGCCCACCAUUUGCUCCAGCAAAUGAGGUUUGCUGUAGCGAAUUGUGGUUUGUUUGAGUUUACCUGAUCCUGGCGGUUUGCUGUCAGGUGUUUGCGAUGGUUGGGGCUGUAGCUCAGCUGGGAGAGCACCUGCUUUGCAAGCAGGGGGUCAGCGGUUCGAUCCCGCUCAGCUCCACCAAUUCGCUUGGUGUUGAGACUGAGAGAUAUCCUUUGAAGAAAUAAAAGUUUUGCAUCGGCUUAGGCUGAUGCGUGUUCUGCAUACAUUGUGAAGAGAAGAUUGAUCUGGAGGCUUCCAGGUGUUUUGGGUUUUGCCCAAGGCGUCCGAGCCCAGUUCUAGUGAUCCCAUGGAUGGCCUAGCCGGCCGGAUAUGGGUGAAGGACUGGAGGUAGGAAGGAAGCUUGUCGCUCUGGGUCGUUGUUGUUUGCUGUCUUUAGGGACGGCAUCUGACGGACGACUUGAUUACCGUUGCCUGACCGCGCGGUAUCGGAUCCAAUCUCGAGAAGCUGGUCUUAAGACAGGCUGCAAGCGAGCUGCUCGGCGUAGCUCCAAUAAAGCAGACCUGUCGAACACGUUAAUGGCAUUGUUGGAUUGACUGGGUUGUAAAAGGUAACCCGGUCUGUUGCCGUUCCUUGGAACGGGCAACGAGACGAUGAGCAUUGGCAAUGAGAACGAUUAAGUGUCGUAAGGGCAUUUGGUGGAUGCCUUGGCAUGCACAGGCGAUGAAGGACGUGAUACGCUGCGAAAAGCCGUGGGAGCUGCGAAUGAGC